UACGUAGGGGGCGAGCGUUGUCCGGAGUGACUGGGCGUAAAGCGCGCGCAGGCGGUCAGAUGCGCCGGUCGUGAAAGCCCCCGGCUCAACCGGGGCGGGUCGAUCGGGACGGUCUGACUGGAGGGUGUCAGAGGGGGGUGGAACGCCGCGUGGAGCAGUGAAAUGCGUAGAUAUGCGGCAGAACACCGGAGGCGAAGGCGGCCCCCUGGGGCACAUCUGACGCUGAGGCGCGAAGGCGCGGGGAGCGAACGGG
rnacentral:rRNA from 1 species